GGUUAAGCGACUAAGCGUACACGGUGGAUGCCCUGGCAGUCAGAGGCGAUGAAGGACGUGCUAAUCUGCGAAAAGCGACGGCGAGGUGAUAUGAACCUUUGACCCGUCGAUGUCCGAAUGGGGAAACCCAGUGUGUUCCGACACACUAUCGUUAACUGAAUACAUAGGUUAACGAGGCGAACCGGGGGAACUGAAACAUCUAAGUACCCCGAGGAAAAGAAAUCAACCGAGAUUCCCCCAGUAGCGGCGAGCGAACGGGGAGCAGCCCGGAGUCUGAAUCAGCUUGUGUGUUAGUGGAACGGUCUGGAAAGUCCGACGGUACAGGGUGAUAGUCCCGUACACGAAAACACACUUGCUGUGAACUCGAAGAGUAGGGCGGGACACGUGGUAUCCUGUCUGAAUAUGGGGGGACCAUCCUCCAAGGCUAAAUACUCCUGACUGACCGAUAGUGAACCAGUACCGUGAGGGAAAGGCGAAAAGAACCCCGGCGAGGGGAGUGAAAAAGAACCUGAAACCGUGUACGUACAAGCAGUGGGAGCCUCUUUAUGGGGUGACUGCGUACCUUUUGUAUAAUGGGUCAGCGACUUAUAUUCUGUAGCAAGGUUAACCGUAUAGGGGAGCCGAAGGGAAACCGAGUCUUAACUGGGCGUUAAGUUGCAGGGUAUAGACCCGAAACCCGGUGAUCUAGCCAUGGGCAGGUUGAAGGUUGGGUAACACUAACUGGAGGACCGAACCGACUAAUGUUGAAAAAUUAGCGGAUGACCUGUGGCUGGGGGUGAAAGGCCAAUCAAACCGGGAGAUAGCUGGUUCUCCCCGAAAGCUAUUUAGGUAGCGCCUCGUGAACUCAUCUUCGGGGGUAGAGCACUGUUUCGGCUAGGGGGCCAUCCCGGCUUACCAACCCGAUGCAAACUACGAAUACCGAAGAAUGUUAUCACGGGAGACACACGGCGGGUGCUAACGUCCGUCGUGAAGAGGGAAACAACCCAGACCGCCAGCUAAGGUCCCAAAGUCAUGGUUAAGUGGGAAACGAUGUGGGAAGGCACAGACAGCCAGGAUGUUGGCUUAGAAGCAGCCAUCAUUUAAAGAAAGCGUAAUAGCUCACUGGUCGAGUCGGCCUGCGCGGAAGAUGUAACGGGGCUAAACCAUGCACCGAAGCUGCGGCAGCGACACUAUGUGUUGUUGGGUAGGGGAGCGUUCUGUAAGCCGUUGAAGGUGUGCUGUGAGGCAUGCUGGAGGUAUCAGAAGUGCGAAUGCUGACAUAAGUAACGAUAAAGCGGGUGAAAAGCCCGCUCGCCGGAAGACCAAGGGUUCCUGUCCAACGUUAAUCGGGGCAGGGUGAGUCGACCCCUAAGGCGAGGCCGAAAGGCGUAGUCGAUGGGAAACAGGUUAAUAUUCCUGUACUUGGUGUUACUGCGAAGGGGGGACGGAGAAGGCUAUGUCAGCCGGGCGACGGUUGUCCCGGUUUAAGCAUGUAGGCGGAGGUUCCAGGUAAAUCCGGUACCUUUUAACGCUGAGGUGUGAUGACGAGGCACUACGGUGCUGAAGUGAUAAAUGCCCUGCUUCCAGGAAAAGCCUCUAAGCAUCAGGUAACACGAAAUCGUACCCCAAACCGACACAGGUGGUCAGGUAGAGAAUACCAAGGCGCUUGAGAGAACUCGGGUGAAGGAACUAGGCAAAAUGGUGCCGUAACUUCGGGAGAAGGCACGCUGAUAUGUAGGUGAAGCCCCUGCGGGCGGAGCUGAAAUCAGUCGAAGAUACCAGCUGGCUGCAACUGUUUAUUAAAAACACAGCACUGUGCAAACACGAAAGUGGACGUAUACGGUGUGACGCCUGCCCGGUGCCGGAAGGUUAAUUGAUGGGGUUAGCGGCAACGCGAAGCUCUUGAUCGAAGCCCCGGUAAACGGCGGCCGUAACUAUAACGGUCCUAAGGUAGCGAAAUUCCUUGUCGGGUAAGUUCCGACCUGCACGAAUGGCGUAAUGAUGGCCAGGCUGUCUCCACCCGAGACUCAGUGAAAUUGAACUCGCUGUGAAGAUGCAGUGUACCCGCGGCAAGACGGAAAGACCCCGUGAACCUUUACUAUAGCUUGACACUGAACACUGGUCCUUGAUGUGUAGGAUAGGUGGGAGGCUUUGAAGCGUGGACGCCAGUCUGCGUGGAGCCAUCCUUGAAAUACCACCCUUUAAUGGCUGGUGUUCUAACGUAGACCCGUAAUCCGGGUUGCGGACAGUGUCUGGUGGGUAGUUUGACUGGGGCGGUCUCCUCCCAAAGAGUAACGGAGGAGCACGAAGGUUGGCUAAUCCUGGUCGGACAUCAGGAGGUUAGUGCAAUGGCAUAAGCCAGCUUGACUGCGAGCGUGACGGCGCGAGCAGGUGCGAAAGCAGGUCAUAGUGAUCCGGUGGUUCUGAAUGGAAGGGCCAUCGCUCAACGGAUAAAAGGUACUCCGGGGAUAACAGGCUGAUACCGCCCAAGAGUUCAUAUCGACGGCGGUGUUUGGCACCUCGAUGUCGGCUCAUCACAUCCUGGGGCUGAAGUAGGUCCCAAGGGUAUGGCUGUUCGCCAUUUAAAGUGGUACGCGAGCUGGGUUUAGAACGUCGUGAGACAGUUCGGUCCCUAUCUGCCGUGGGCGCUGGAGAAUUGAGGGGGGCUGCUCCUAGUACGAGAGGACCGGAGUGGACGCAUCACUGGUGUUCGGGUUGUCAUGCCAAUGGCACUGCCCGGUAGCUAAAUGCGGAAGAGAUAAGUGCUGAAAGCAUCUAAGCACGAAACUUGCCCCGAGAUGAGUUCUCCCUGAGACUUUAAGUCUCCUGAAGGAACGUUGAAGACGACGACGUUGAUAGGUCGGGUGUGUAAGCGCAGCGAUGCGUUGAGCUAACCGAUACUAAUGAACCGUGAGGCUUAACCUU
rnacentral:rRNA from 1 species